GAGCCAGCUAAGGGUCCAAUUUCAUUCUUUUGCAUGUGGAUAUUCAGUUUUCCUAACACCAUUUGUUGAAGACGCUGACCUUUCCCCAGUGAGUGCUCUUGGUGGCCCUAUCAAAGAUCAUUUGACCACAUAAGACAGGGUAAAAGUCAAACCCUUCUGGAAAACACCUACACUAAUUGAAUAUGACAGUGUGUCAUUUUCAAGGCCCAACUGCAGCUCUGUCAUCUGGGACCAUGGGAAGUUAAAUCCAAGAAGACAAAGCUCUAAAGUCCCUUCUCACAUCUUUAGGCUUCUGUAAGUAGCUCCUAAGCCCUCUACUCACAAAAAGAAUGAUUGUGAUGGCCCCUGAGGAGGUGAGUGGAAAUGAAAAGCAGACACUUAGGUUGCUGACAAAGAUUGCUGGCAGGUAUCUGCAUUUUGACACUAGAGUCUCCUUUUUCAUUUUCCAUUCAUUCCAAACAUAUACAACAACCAGUCACCUUCAAGACUGGCCUCGUCUGUGCCUCUCUAGGGUCAUCUUCUGAUCUUUCCCUUGACUGUCACACUCCAGCAACAGUGGGCUCUGUGUACAUCCUGACAGGAGAGGGGGUAAACAGGAGUUAGAACUGUGUCCUCAGCUCACUCGUGCUCCUGGAUCAGGCAGCUCCAAAAUGAAUCACCCUAGAACUCAGAGGUGUAAAGCAGUGGUGGCUUAUUCUUGCUUGCAUAUCUGCAGAUGGUCCAGGCAGCUCUGCCUCAGGCAGUGGCACCUGGGACACUCCUCUGCCUUGAAUGAACAGGCUGGUGGAGUGAGUCUUCUCACCAUGAUGGCAGAAGUGUAGGAGGGUGAGCAGGAAACAAGACACCCCAGCUCAAGCCUGCAUACCCUCACUCCAGUGCAUAUUUCUUUUUUUAAUUUUUAUUUAUUUAUUUAUUUUUUGAGGAAGAUUAGCCCUGAGCUAACAUCUGCUGCCAAUCCUCUUUUUGCUGAGGAAGACCGGCCCUGAGCUAACAUCCCUCCCCAUCUUCCUCUACUUUAUAUGUGGGACACCUGCCACAGCAUGGCUUGCCAAGCAGUGCCAUGUCUGCACCUGGGAUCCGAACCGGUGAAUCCCGGGCUGCCGAAGUGGAAUGUGCGAACUUAACCACUGCGCCACCGGGCCGGCCCCCCAGUGUAUAUUUCUUUGGCUGAAUCAAGGCACAUAGACCUGCCCAGUAUUGGUGGGGUGGGAAGAUACCUGCUCCCCACUCUAGUGGGUGAUCCUGCAAAGUUCCAGGGCAAAGAGUAUGGACAUGUAAUUGUAAUUCAGGGAGGGCGUUAAGAAUUGGGAAAAAUGCUCCAGUCUGUCCCAGCGCCUAACCUUCCUUCCAGUGAGCACACUCUUCCCCUGUAAAAUAAGAAGGCUGGACCAGAUGAUCUCCAGGGUUCCAGCUCCAACUUCCUGAGAAUUUGAUGGAGAACCAAUUGGAAGAAGUUGGAGGAGAGAUGAAGUAUCAAGGAUGAUCUAUGCCUGGCACUGGGCUUGGCACAUUGAGGUGCUCAGGAAAUAUCUGUUGACUUAAUGGCUUGGAGAGCUGAGUCCAAGUGUCUGGGAAAGGAUGGAGAAUGCUUUUGCUGGGCCACAGAUGUUUGCUGGCCUUCCUACCACAGGCCUGCGGAAGCACUUUGAAGUUGCAGUGGCAGCAUCCAGGUGCUCAUCUCCCUUUUUUUCUGUUGUCACUAAUGGAUUUGAUCCUGUUCCUGAGUCCCAGGGCAGCUGCUGAGCCCCCGAGAACAGAUCUAAUAGUGUGUUCUGGUUCCCAGUCUUGGGAGACUUGCAAGCAGAGGGGAGUCACCACCUUUUGCUGAGUUGUUUAAAUGCUGUGACAAGAAAGGCACUUCCCUUGAGUUCUCUAUUUUUAGAAAAUGAAAUUGUUUUCCUGGAUGCAAAAAUCUCUUUUGAGUCCCUCAGUUUGCCUAAGUUUAAAUUUAUUUUGCCUGUCAGUUUCCUCGUCUUUGCCUUCUGGAGAUGGGAUUAGGGCAUUCUUAACCUCUGAGUAGAUUCCCGUGUGCCUUCUCUCUUGCCUGUGUUUACCUGAGUACAUCACAGCCUGUCCUGCCUUUGCAGUCUUCCAGACAUUAAUAGCUUCAAGCUGCAGCCCUCCUGCCUCCCUUCCCGUCAGCCCUAGUUUGUACUUUGUGGCAAUAUGUCAUUUAUGUGCAUGUGCAGCUGCUUGAGGGUGGAACCAGAAGCUCAUGUGUCAUCUGUUUCCUCCCAGAAGGCCUAACACAAUAAAUCAGUGUUAAGUAACUGUUAGCUGGCCACACACUAUACAGGUAUGUCAUGGGUGCCUGGGAAGCUGACAAACGAGAUUCUCUAGGUCCCUGAUUAAGUUGCAUGGUGUGGCAGUGGAAGAGUCUCUAGAUAGGAAAGGAACUUAAAGGUCAUCUGGUCCAACUAUCUUUCUCUGCACUGACUUCUACCCAUAGCAUCUCUGCCCCAUUAGCAGCAGCCUCUGAGCAAACCUCUCAGGUGACAGAGAGCAAACCUUUAUCUCCCAAGACAAGCUUGUAUUCCUUAGAUAACUCUGAGUGUUAGAAAAUUCUUCCUCUAUUGAGCUGAGAUGGGUUUCCAGGCAAUAUCUGUCCUCGUUGAGAUGUUUUUCUGUCACAUGCAGCUGGACGUAUCCCUUUCAUGUGGCCAUUCUUCAUCUUCAGAGAGGCUGGCUCAGUGACUCUAAGUAUUAUCUAUUGGUGCAUAACAAAUCAUCUCAAAAUUUAGUGGCUUAAAACAAUAGUAAACAUUAUCUCACAGUUUCCAUGGGUCAAGGAUUCAUGAGUGGGUGGUUAGUUGGGGUGAUCUGGUUCAGGAUGUCUCAUGAGGGCCACACUCAUCUGAAGGCUUGACUGGGGCUGGAAGCUCUGCUUCCAAGGUGGCUCACUCACAUGCCUGGAGAAGUGGUGCUGGCUGUUGACAGGAAGCCUCAGUUCCUCACUCUGGGGCCCUCUCCAAAGGGCUGCUUGGGUGUCCUCACAACAUGGCAGCUGGCUUUUCCUAGGGAGAGUCAUCUCAGAGAGAGCAAGCAGGAACCUUUCUUUUUUACGUACCCUCAAAGUCACACUCUGUCAUUUCCACAAUAUUCUGUUGGUUACACAGAUCAGUCCAGCCCAAUGUGGGAGUAAGGCUCCAAACCUCUGUGACCCUCACUUUUCUCAUCUGUAAAUAGCCCUGCCUGGCUGUUUGAAACAAGCCUUGAAGUACUUGGUAAACUGUUUCAUAAGUGAAAGGGGCGUUUUGAAUGUAACGGUUUUCCCAGCAGUAAUGCUUCACUAGUGAGAACCUCCUGUUUAACAGGAACAGUCAAGGAAAGCAGGGCUGGAUUUGCCACAAGAUGAGGAAGACAUAUUUGAGGCCUCUUUUGGGGGUAGCCAGGUUGUGGGCUGUCCUUCUGGAGUUCAGGAACCUUGUCAUGGGGGGACCCCUCUCUGCUGUCAGGUCCCUUCCCUGUUCAGUUCAAAUGGUGGAGGGGAGAUGGAAGGUUACACACUCUUGUUGGAUGCUAUAGGAGCCCAGGAGAUCCACUGCCACUUGGAGGCCCAGACCUCUUCUGUCUUGUUCACUGUUCUGAACCCAGUGACUGGCCUACCAUGUUGAUUGAAGGAAAGAAUGAAUGUACCAAGCAGCAGUAAGCAUUGUUUUAAACACAGCCUCUGUUUUGGGAGUCUGCAACUGCCUGUGGUGUGAGGCCUUCAGUUUUGCAGGCUGCUGCCAUGUUUGUCAUUUGAAGCUUGGUGGGAGUCACUUUUACAAAAGAUUGUUUCAUCUAAUAGUAAUGUCAAUGCUUAUACUACUUGUCAGCGAAAAUAAUCCAUAACCACUCUAUAAAUGAUAAUUGGGGUGAGUUUAUUCUGAGCCUUCCUUCCCCAAGGAAGGAAGGGCACCAAAGAAGUGGGAGUGUACAGAGUGGUUAUAUACCAUCAAAGAGCAUGUAUCAUAUGUGAUUGAAAUGUCCCUUUUACAAUAGUCACAAGAUUGCUCUGUCAGCACAGCAAUUGAUGGACACAGCAGGUAGUAGGUCUGCUGUCUCGGUGGACACAUAGGGUAGCAGGUCUGUUGUCUCGAGCUGGGUUGUCACAGGUGAGCUGGGUGGUCACAGGUGAGCGUAGCAAUCAAUUCCUAGUCUAGAGAGAGAUGCUUAUCCUUAAGGAAAUGCCAGUGUAGGGGAAGUUACAGGUUUAUCUUAAGAGCAUUUGUUCUUGCUUUUGGGACGUAGCAAAUGCUUCAAGCAGAUGUACAAUGCAUGCUCAACGGCCAUGUCAGGCCCUUUUGGAAAAACAAGGUCAGGCCGAAUUAGGUUUACACCAAAUGGUUUCCUCGUAUACUCCAGUAUAUCCUAUUGCUUGCCAUUUGUUUGUCCUAUUGGAGGCCAUGAAGGGAAGAAGUAGAAUUCCUGAAUAAAUUACAUGUCUCACCGUUAGAUCUGUAAGCUCAUAUUGUAAUCUGUGCAUUUAAAUUUGUAAUUGGCUUUGGUGUGUUAAAUUUUGACUUAAGUGUUUCCUUAAUUAACCUCUAAUUUGUGGCAUUUCAGUCUUUUGCUUGGCUUGGUAACUGGUUUUCUUUUUUAGGACUUCCUUUGCUUAGGGUAGCACUUUUGGGGGUGUUUUAGUGCUGCUGGAUUUUUAAUUCACUUGUAAAAAGAAGAAUCGAGGUUGCUGGAACAUCCUGUAGAUUGUGGCUGUAGCUACAGAAGUUGUGUGAUGAUUUAAAAGAAAGAAAUCUGUUCAAAUAUCCUGCAUUGCUCUGUAGGAGAACGUGGAUUUACAAGCCCAUGACUGUGCUCAAAAUAGAUCUAGCCCAGUGCCCUAGGGACCCAUCAUCUCCUUCCUUCUCAUUCUGAGACACUCAGUGCACAGCCUCAUUCCUGUGCCUGGCUCACUGGGACCCAAGGGGCCCCCUUUGUCACCCAAGUUGUUCAGCACUGCUGUUGGUCAUUGUUACACACAGGGAAGAAUUUAAUAUACAAUACCUAUGGAUUUUAUUUUUUAUUAUGGAAAUUUUCAAACACAUACAAAAGUAUAAAUGUUGGUAUAAAGAACCCCAUGUCCUCAUCACCCACUGUCAGCAAGUCUCACCUUAAGGUCAGUCUGUGGCCUCCCUACUCUCAUUUAAUUUGAAGCAAAUGCCUGACACCUUUAACUUAAUUUUAAUAAUUAAGUUAAAAAUAAUAUUUAUAAAUAUUUCAGUAUGUAUCUCUUUAGAGAUGAAGAUUUUUCUAAAAAACAUCAAAUGGCAUUAACAUGCCUAAAAAUUUAAUUCCUUAAUAUUACCAAAUAGUCAAUGUUAAAAUUUCCCCAUUGAUUUAAAAAAUUUUUCUAGAAAUCAGGGUCCAAAUAAGGUCUAUACAUUACAAUUGUUGAUAUUUCUCCUCAUAUUUUUAAAAUGAACUUUUUAUUUUGAAAUACUUUCCAACUUAGAGGAAAGUUACAAGAGUAAUACAAAGAACUCCUAAGUCAUCCUUCCCUCAGAUCCCCCAAUUGUUAAUAUACUACAUUUGCCUUAUCAUUCUCUCUCUCUAUUUAUACAUAUUAUUUUUUUAACUAUUUAAGAGUAAGUUUCAGAUAUGAUGUCCAUUAUCACUUAAUACUUCAGUGUGUAUUCCUUAAAACAAGGACAUUCUCCUACAUAUCCAUAGUGUAAACAUUGAUACAGUGCUACUGUCUAAUCCAUGGACCCCAUUCAUGUUUUUCCAGUUAUCCCAAUAAUGUCCUUUAGGGGUCCAGGAUCCAAUCUAGGAUCACAGAUUGCAUUUGGUGGUUGUGUCUUGUCACUUUAGUUUCAGUCUGGAACAGGUCUUCCAUUUUUAUUUGUCUUUCAUGACCUGGACAUUUUUGAUGGAUACAGGCCGGUUACUUUGUAGAAUUUGUCUCAAUUUGGGAUCGCCUGGUGUUCCCUUCUGUUUACAUUCAGGUCCUGCAUUUAUGGCAGGAAUACCACAGGAUGCAUGAUUGUGUCCUUCACAGUGCAUCAUAUCAGGAGGCACAUGAUGUUAAUUUGUCCUGCUGCUAGUGCUGUAACUUUUAUCCUUAGUUAAGAUGAUGUUUGCCAGAUAUCUCCGCUGUAAAGUUAACUUUAUAAUUAUUAAUUAAUAAGUAAUUAGAAAGUAUUUUUAUGAGGAGAUACUUUAAGGCUAUGUAAAAUCCUAUUCCUCAGCAAAUCUUUACCCACUGGUUUUAGCACCCUUUGAUGAUUCUUGCUUGAAUCAGUUGUUACUUUGAUGGUUGCCACUUGGUGAUUUUCUAACACCAUUUCUUCUACUUUUAUUGGUAGACAUUGUACUGUGAGGAAGAGCUUUUUAUUUGUCUAUUCAUUUAUUUAUAUCAGUAUGAACUAAUGGAUUUCUAUCUUAUCCAGUGGGUUAUUAUGAUAACUAUCAUUUAUUUUGAUGCUCAAAUUGUCCCAGCUUUGGCUAGGAGGAGUCCUUUUAAACUGGCUCUUGUGUUCUUCUGACAUUCCCCAUCACUCUUUGAAUACUUUCUUGCUUUUGGCACAAAAAAAUGAUCCUGGUUCAUCGUGUAUUGGAAUUUGCCAUUUGUCCAAUGAGCCCUCAUUCCUUUCAGUGGAAAAUGGUAUCUAAAAGCUAAACUCUGGAUGCUAGGUAUGCUCAUUGUUAUUGGGACAUCAUUGUUUCUAUACUCUCUUUGUGGAUAGAGAUGGAUUUUUCUAACUUUUUCUUUCCAUAUUUCCAACUUCAAACUCUGGCAGUAACAGAUCUGUCUCCCGUUAUCCUCAGUAUAUUUACUUAUUUGCUCAGCCCCCUGUAUUGAACCACCCUCCCAGCCUUGCUGGCCAGAUCACCUCUGUUCCUGCACAGUCAGUCAUGCUGGCCGAUUUUCUUGACCUUGGUGCUCCUGCCUUACUGGUGACACUGGCCAAAACCCCUUGCCUCAGGGCCUGGCUGUACUGCUGCUGCUGCUGGCUGUGCUGUCUGAAUCCCCAUGGUUUAGCGCUGCCUGGGAAAGAGAAAAAGGCUCUGUAAUCUUUUUUGAUUUAUAUGUUCUCUUUCCCUCUCUCUUUUUUUCCCCUUGCAAUUUAUUUGUUGAAGAAACUGGGUCAUUUGUUCUGUAAUUUCCCACAGACUGGACUUUGCUGAUUGCAUCUCCUUAAUGUUGUUUAUCAUACUCUUCUAUUUCCUUUAUUUCCUAUAGACUGACAGCUAGAGAUAUGAUUAGAGUAGGAUUCAAUUAUAUUGACAAAAUGGUUGAUAGGUACAUUGAAAGGGGGCACAUGCUGUCUGGUUCUCUCUUUCCCACACACACACGCAUACAUGCAUGCAUACCCAUAAGCAACCAUUAUAUGUGCAACCAUCACCACAGUCCAUUUUGGAAUGUUUUCAUCACUUCCAAAAGAAACCACAUAUGCUUUAGUUAUCACUCCUCUGUGCUCCCCCACCCCAAAUCUGCUUCCCAGUCCUAAGCAACCACUCAGAUAUUUUCUGUCUUUCCAUAUUUCCCUAUUCUGGACUUUUAUAGGGGUGGAAUAUGUAGACUUUUGUAACUAGCUUCUUUGACUUAGCAUAAUUUUCAAGGUUUAUCCGAGUUGUAGCAUGUGUCAGUACUUCAUUCCUUUUUAUGACUGAAUAAUAUUCUGUUGUAUGGAUACAAUUCCACUGUGUGAAUAUACCAAAUUUUUUUUGUCCAUUCAUCCACUGAUGGAUAUUUGGGUUGUUUCCACCUUUUGGCUAUUAUGUGUAAUGCUGUUAGAAAUGUUUUUAUGUGGACACAGGUUUUUAUUUCUCUUGAGUAUAUACCCAGGGUUGGAAUUGCUGGGUCAUAGGGUAACCCUAUGUUUAAUCAUUCUAUAAUGUUUUUCAGUAUAUCUCUUUGGAUAACUUUUUUAGUGGUUCCUCUCUCUAUUACAUUAUUUAUACAUAACUCAUCACAGUCUGCUGCUGUCAUUUUACCAGUUUUAGUGAAGUAUAGAAACCUUACCUCCCUGUAAGUUCCUUUACCCUCUCCCAUUUAUGGUAUAAUUGUCUUAAAUAUUUCCUCUACGUACAUAUAGAACCACAUCAGACAGUGUUUUAAUUUUUGCUUCAACCAUUAAAACAACUUAGACAACUGAAGAGAAGGAAAGUUUAUUGUCUUAACCCAUAUACUGCAUAUCAUGUUCUUUCUUCCUUCCUGAUGUUCUAAGAUUCCUUCUUUUAUCAGUUCCUUUCUUUUUAGAGAACUUCCUUUUGCUGUUCUUUUAGGGUAGGUCUGGCGGUGACAAAUCCUCUUUAUUUUCCUUCAUUUGAGAAUGUCUUUACUUUCCUUUCAUUCCUGGAGGAUAUUUUCACUGGAUUCUGGAUUGACAGUUCUUUUCUUUUAGUGCUUGAAAAGUCUUGGCCACUUCCUUCUGGCUUCCAUGGUUUCUGGUGAAAUCCUCUGUAUUUCAAAUUGUUUUUCUUCUUCGUAAGGUGUUGCUUCUGUCUCAAUGCUUUCAGGAUUUUUUUCUUUGUCUUUUUGUUUUUGGAAGUUUGACUAUAAUAUGUUGUGGUGUGAAUUUCUUUGGGUUUAUCCUCUUUGGGUUUGCUCAGCUUCUUGAAUAUGGAGAUGUACAUCUUUUGCCAAAUUUGGGAAGUUUUCAGCCAUUAUUUCUUUAAAUACUUGGUUUUCCCUGCCUUCUUUCUUUGCCUUCUCCUUCUGGGACACCGAUGACACAAAUGACAAAAGUCCCCCAGGUCCCUGAGACUCUGUUCAUUUUUUUUCAGUCUAUUUUCUUUCUGUUGUUCAGAUUGGGUGAUUUCUCUUGUUCUAUCUUCAGUUAACUGAUUUUUUUCCCUCUUUCCCUUCCUUCUGCCGUUGAGCCUAUUACUGGGUUUUUUUUAUUUUGGUUCCUGUAUUUUUCAGUUCUAAAAUUUCCAUUUGGUUCUUCUUUUUGUCUUCUGUUUCUUUGCUGAGACUUUCUAUUUCUUUGAUGAGUCUCACUAUUAAACCUGUUAUGGAAACAGCCGGAAAAUAGAAUAUGAACACUUUUCAAAACUCGGCAGCCUGAUAGGGACAGGAAAACUUAGUGGCAUUCAUUGCUUAGCUAUUGCUUAUCUUUCAGAUGGAUGAAUUUUGGUGACAACACUUAUUUCCAUGGUAUUUUACACUUGC
rnacentral:lncRNA from 1 species